UACAGAGGUCCCAAGCGUUGUUCGGAUUCACUGGGCGUAAAGGGUGCCGUAGGUGGUUAGGUAAGUCCGAUGUGAAAUCUCCAGGCUCAACCUGGAAAUGGCAUUGGAUACUAUCUAGCUUGAGGAGUGGAGGGGGGACUGGAAUUCUCGGUGUAGCAGUGAAAUGCGUAGAUAUCGAGAGGAACACCAGUGGCGAAGGCGGCCCACUGGAUCGGUACUGACGCUGAGGUGCGAAAGCGUGGGGAGCGAACAGG
rnacentral:rRNA from 1 species